GAAAUAUCUAAGAGGGCCUCUGAGGUAGCUGGUUAAAAUGCAGCCGCUGCACAGCCAAAGCCGGAACUGUCAGGGAACUGAAGCCCCCUGGCCCUGAACCAAAUCCCGGCACAGGAAAGCCAGGCUGUUUCUUACAGGAAACCCCAUCCAGCGAAUGCCCACUGCUGCCAGUGCCUGUGCGCACCCCGGAGACGCAUCAGACAACCAGCAAAACCAGGCCCAUUGGACUUCACAGAUCUCUCCUGGUGCAGCCGGUUCGGAACCUUGUGGAGUUGGCUGCCUGCCCGAGAAACACAUGUGCAAUCCCACCCUUCCUCAACCAACCUACACACUGAAUGUACAUGCCAACUAGAUGCCACGUGAGUGAUAUACUCAGACAAGAGAGGAUGCUGUCCCUAUUUCCAGAUGCUUCGAGUAGGAGCUAAGGUGAAGGUGGUGAAGAUGGUUGUAUGAUUUUUCUCCUUCGGUGAACCACAGCCCUGAGACAAACUCAAGUUUCUUUGUGAGGUAGUGCCAAGUCUAUGAAGUAAGUCACACAACAGAGGAUCCCAGGCCACACCCUUGGUUUAAUGAAAAUGAUUCACAACAAAGAGAGGAAGAGAACAGAGUCAGAGACUAAAAAUCACCACUACCACGCGUGAGCGCUGACUUUCCCACGCCCUCGUAAAGACAGUAAGGAGGCCCUGUUGUGAUUCAGUAAUACCAUGGCAAUCCGAAGCUGUCUACGCAAAUGCAACAUCAGCAAAUAAUGCUCAAAUUCUUUCAGAAAGAACCCUUCCUAAAAUGAGCCAAGAAGAAACAUAAAAACAAAUUAGCCUGAUUGGGGGGGGGGGGGUGAGAGACGACAAAACUGUCGCUUAAAAACGUCCUACAAACCAAAGACCUGGUAAUCUGUGAGUUCAAGGCCAGCCUGGAUUCUAUCAUGAGGCGAAGACCAUGGGGUUAGAUGGCAAAGUAACCAUGGGUGUGGAGCCAUCCACUGAAGCAUAACUUAUCAGCACCUACAAAGAAAAGUGACUUCCUCUGUGAGCAGCCACCAACUGUGGGUAGAUCCUCAGCGACGGGGAGGCAUUGCGAGACCAUCUCUGGUCCGUGAGUUUGUUUGUUUGUUUGUUUGUUUGUUUGUUUGUUUGUUUAAAAUUACCUCCAAAGCAUAUGUAACUUCAGUGGUAAAACCUACCAAACAUGUCAUUUAAUAAUAUUCAUCUAACUUGAAAAUUAA
rnacentral:lncRNA from 1 species